GGUUCCGCCUGCCCAGUGACUUUUUAAACGGCCGCGGUAUCCUAACCGUGCAAAGGUAGCAUAAUCACUUGUCCUUUAAAUAAGGACUAGCAUGAAUGGCUAAAUGAGGACUUAACUGUCUCUUACAGCCCGCCAAUGAAACUGAUUUCCCAGUACAAAAGCUGGAAUAAACACACAAGACGAGAAGACCCUGUGGAGCUUCAAAUCAAACCCACCAACCAUGGUUCUAGAUUUUUAGUUGGGGCGACUUCGGAGCAUAAAAAACCCUCCAAACAUGUAUUACUUAAUUUUAUUAAGACCAACACACCAAAACAUAACAAAAGACCCAGCAACAUUCUAAUGUUGUCUGACAAUUGAACCAAGUUACCCCAGGGAUAACAGCGCCAUCCCCUUCUAGAGUCCCUAUCGACAAGGGGGUUUACGACCUCGAUGUUGGAUCAGGACACCCCAAUGGUGCAGACGCCAUUAAAG
rnacentral:rRNA from 1 species